CCUACGGGAGGCAGCAGUGAGGAAUAUUGGUCAAUGGGCGCGAGCCUGAACCAGCCAAGUAGCGUGCGGGAGGACGGCCCUACGGGUUGUAAACCUCUUUUGCCGGGGAGCAACGGGCGUCACGUGUGGCGCCACUGAGAGUACCCGGCGAAAAAGCAUCGGCUAAAUCCGUGCCAGCAGCCGCGGUUAUUCUGAGGAUGCGAGCGUUAUCCGGAUUUAUUGGGUUUAAAGGGUGCGUAGGCGGAUCGUUAAGUCAGUGGUCAAAUUGAGGGGCUCAACCCCUUCCCGCCAUUGAAACUGGCGUUCUUGAGUGGAAGAGAAGUAUGCGGAAUGCGUGGUGUAGCGGUGAAAUGCAU
rnacentral:rRNA from 1 species